rnacentral:rRNA from 1 species
AGCAGCCGCGGUAAUUCCAGCUCCAAUAGCGUAUAUUAAAGUUGUUGCAGUUAAAAAGCUCGUAGUUGAAUUUCGGGAUCGGCAUGUUGGUCGUGCCUUACGGGGUAUGAACUGGCAUCGCCGGUUUCUCACCUUCUGGAGAAUCGUGAUGCUCUUAAUUGGGUGUUACGUGGAUCCAGGACCUUUACCUUGAAAAAAUUAGAGUGUUUAAAGCAGGCAUAUUGCUCGAAUACAUUAGCAUGGAAUAAUAAAAUAGGACGGUUUGGUUCUAUUUUGUUGGUUUCUAGGAUCACCGUAAUGAUUAAUAGGGAUAGUUGGGGGCAUUAGUAUUCAAUUGUCAGAGGUGAAAUUCUUGGAUUUAUUGAAGACUAACUACUGCGAAAGCAUUUGCCAAGGAUGUUUUCAUUAAUCUAAGAACGAAAGUUAGGGGAAUCGAAGACGAUCAGAUACUGUCGUAGUCUUAACCAUAAACUAUGCCGACUAGGAAUCAGACGAUGUUAAUUUUUUAAUGUACUCGUUU